rnacentral:tRNA from 1 species
GGGGCUGUGGCGCAGUUGGUAGCGUACCUCCAUGGCAUGGAGGGGGUCAGGGGUUCGAAUCCCCUCAGCUCCACCA